UCCUUGUUAGCUCAGUCGGUAGAGCACGCGGCUGUUAACCGCGGUGUCGUUGGUUCGAGUCCAACACGAGGAGC
rnacentral:tRNA from 1 species